ACCGUCUGUGGUUCUAUUUUCACAACAUUAAUAGAAUUUCAAAUACUUUCUCGUCUCUCUAUUUUUCUGGCAAAUUCAGAAGCUUUGGUUUGAUUACAAAUCUUGAAUCAGUUCAAUCACUGGUGUGGCGCAACUAGGAUCCUCAUCUGAAAAUUGAUUGAGUUCUUUUGCUCUGCUUGAUAUUGAGGUCAGUGAUUUUGGAGCGGCGUGGCGGAAUGGGUGUGGUGAAGUUGAUUUGGACUUGUGGUUCCGGUUUGAACGUUAGACUUUAAAUUUGUUAAUUUUUCUUUGAGUCAUUUUGAGGUUAAGCUUGCUUUUAUUUUAUGAAAGUUUUUGGU